CCCUUAGAUGUUCUGGGCCGCACGCGUGCUACACUGAGUGGAUCAGCGGGUCAGGUUGCGCGAAAGUGUUUCCUAAUCUUUAAAUCCGCUCGUGAUGGGGAUUGACGGUUGCAAUUUUCCGUCGUGAACGAGGAAUACCUUGUAAGCGCGGGUCAUCAUCCCGCGCUGAAUACGUCCCUGCCCUUUGUACACACCGCCCGUCGCUCCUACCGAUUGAGUGGUCCGGUGAGGCUUUGGGAUCUGAGCGGAAAGAGCGUUUCGCUGUUUCUGCCCGGAAAACUCAGUCGAACCUUAUCAUUUAGAGGAAGGAGAAGUCGUAACA
rnacentral:rRNA from 1 species